AGUUUCCUCAAAGACAUCAUCAGUAGCAUCAAACUCAGAUGAAGACCGUCCAGGAGAUGAUUCUUCCCCUUCAGACGAUAUCUCAGAACAACCUGUUUACACCACUGUGAUCAUAAACAAGACAGAACAAACUCAAGAACUGGAUUCAGGAUUAUCAUGCUCCACACUGCCCCCGAUUCCCCCAGCAGUUGAAGAGUCGAGUUCUCCAGAGACGGUCAUUUAUUCACCCAUCCAGACAGCCACAAUGAGCAACACCUGAACAGUAAACUGCAGAAAGGAGGCAAACCUGUCAUGAUUCCUGGGUCGUUGACUGAGUGCUUUG